rnacentral:misc_RNA from 1 species
GAUGAAGAACGUAGCGAAAUGCGAUAAGUAAUGUGAAUUGCAGAAUUCCGUGAAUCAUCGAAUCUUUGAGCGCACAUUGCGCCCCCUGGCAUUCCGGGGGGCAUGCCUGUCCGAGCGUCAUUUCUGCCCUCAAGCACGGCUUGUGUGUUGGGUGUGGUCCCCCCGGGGACCUGCCCGAAAGGCAGCGGCGACGUCCGUCUGGUCCUCGAGCGUAUGGGGCUCUGUCACUCGCUCGGGAAGGACCUGCGGGGGUUGGUCACCACCAUGUUUUACCACGGUUGACCUCGGAUCAGGUAGCAGUUACCCGCUGAACUUAAGCAUAUCAAUAAGCGGAGGA